rnacentral:rRNA from 1 species
ACGAUCGCUGGCGGCGUGCCUAAUACAUGCAAGUCGAGCGGAAUGAUGAAGAAGCUUGCUUCUUCUGAUUUUAGCGGCGGACGGGUGAGUAACACGUGGGCAACCUACCUUGUAGAUUGGGAUAACUCCGGGAAACCGGGGCUAAUACCGAAUAAUCCAUUUUGCUUCAUGGCGAGAUGUUAAAAGGCGGCUUCGGCUGUCACUACGAGAUGGGCCCGCGGCGCAUUAGCUAGUUGGUAGGGUAAUGGCCUACCAAGGCGACGAUGCGUAGCCGACCUGAGAGGGUGAUCGGCCACACUAGGACUGAGACACGGCCCAGACUCCUACGGGAGGCAGCAGUAGGGAAUCUUCCACAAUGGACGAAAGUCUGAUGGAGCAACGCCGCGUGAGUGAAGAAGGUUUUCGGAUCGUAAAACUCUGUUGUAAGGGAAGAACACGUACGAGAGUAACUGCUCGUACCUUGACGGUACCUUAUUAGAAAGCCACGGCUAACUACGUG